GAUGAACGCUAGCGGCAGGCCUAACACAUGCAAGUCGAGGGGUAAUUUUCCCGAGCAAUCGGGAAGAACGACCGGCGCACGGGUGAGUAACGCGUAUGCAACCUACCUUUAACUGGGGAAUAGCCCGAAGAAAUUCGGAUUAAUAUCCCAUAAUAUUUUGGAAUCGCAUGGUUUCAUAAUUAAAGUUCCAACGGUUAGAGAUGGGCAUGCGUGACAUUAGUUAGUUGGUGAGGUAAUGGCUCACCAAGACGAUGAUGUCUAGGGGGUCUGAGAGGAUGGUCCCCCACACUGGUACUGAGAUACGGACCAGACUCCUACGGGAGGCAGCAGUGAGGAAUAUUGGGCAAUGGACGCAAGUCUGACCCAGCCAUGUCGGGGUGGAGGAUGACAGUCUUAUGGGUUGUAAACUGCUUUUAUACAGGAAGAAACCCCCCGACGUGUCGGGGGCUGACGGUACUGUAUGAAUAAGCAUCGGCUAACUCCGUGCCAGCAGCCGCGGUAAUACGGAGGAUGCAAGCGUUAUCCGGAUUUAUUGGGUUUAAAGGGUGCGUAGGCGGGAGAUUAAGUCAGUGGUGAAAUCCUGCAGCUUAACUGCAGAACUGCCAUUGAUACUGGUUUCCUUGAGUACAGUUGAGGUGGGCGGAAUGUGUAGUGUAGCGGUGAAAUGCUUAGAUAUUACACAGAACACCAAUUGCGUAGGCAGCUCACUAAACUGUUACUGACGCUGAGGCACGAAAGCGUGGGGAGCAAACAGGAUUAGAUACCCUGGUAGUCCACGCUGUAAACGAUGAUCACUCGUUGUUGGCGAUAUACAGUCAGCGACUGAGCGAAAGCAUUAAGUGAUCCACCUGGGGAGUACGAUCGCAAGAUUGAAACUCAAAGGAAUUGACGGGGGCCCGCACAAGCGGAGGAACAUGUGGUUUAAUUCGAUGAUACGCGAGGAACCUUACCUGGGCUUAAAUGCAGUAUGACUUCCGCCGAAAGGUGGAUUCCCUUCGGGGCAGAUUGCAAGGUGCUGCAUGGUUGUCGUCAGCUCGUGCCGU
rnacentral:rRNA from 1 species